CGCCAGCAGCAACUCCAAUAUUAGCGGAUUGGCAGUAAGGAUGGAGAGGAAGAUAAUCCGGCAGUCGCCCUACUGACGGUUGUGUUCAUAAGACUGGAUUCUGGUGUAUUGGUGGAAGUGAUGUGCUCCACUGGUCAUAAAACUCCUUGGAUGAUUGUCUAAGCUCUUACUUCCCUUACCAUGAAUGCCUGGGAGGCCUCAAGUUUAAGAUGCAAGCAUCAUAGAAUGGAAGGAGACUAGAUCCCUGAGUCAUCUUGUGGAGGAAAUCUACCAAGGAGAGUUGCCCGACAGCGCUGGACUGUGAUGUAAGUGAUUAAUAAAUCUUUAUUGUGUGUACUCCAUGAGAUCUAGGUACCUUACCCUGAUUAACUCAGAUGGUACAGAAAAGGGAUAUUUGUAUGGAAUAUAAGCCUAUAGUGAGUAGAUUUAAAGUUUGAAUGUAUUCAUACCCUAAUUUUUCCUAUUCCAAGAUUACCGAAUUCAUCAUAGAGUUUAGGUAGCUGAGCAGAAUGUUGUAGAGAAAAUAAUGUGAACUGUAGAACUCCACUGAAUUAGAUUCAAAUGCUGUCUCAGACAUUUAUUACCUUGACUUUAAAGUGUUUUCUUUCUGAAAUCCAAUACUUUCUAUCUACUAGCAUUAUUAAGUCAGCUAAAACCUAUUAGGUAACUCUCUUCCAUUCCUAUACCCUUCUAAUAUUCUAAUAUUUCCAAUCCAGUGUUUAAUUUCUGUGGUUCCCCAUUCUACACUCGAUCUUCGCCAAAAGGCUGAGAAGUGAUGGUUCUCCAUUCUAAACUGAUUUUCAUAAAUUUGACUUUAUAGUAGUACCAGACUAAAGGCUGGACAACAAAAGCAACAGUGGAGCCCAGAGAAAGUAGCCAUGUCCUUAAUUUGUGCCCAAAUAAAAGAAAAUCACUACAAAAUUUUAUGUGUUGAAAAUAGUGCUUAGUAGAGAACAAUUUUCCCUUUAUUUAGUACAUUAUUCAGGAAGUUCCCAAGUUAGAGAAAGACUAUGCUGUGCACUAUAGCACAAUUUUGAAAAUACUGUAUUUAAUUAAAAUGGGAAUUUCUGAAAUGAUUGCUAUAGAAUUUGUCUUUCCAAACCUGAAGUAAAAAUUUUGACCCAUGCAAUAUUUAUGAGUUAAUUUUCUUUUUUUCCCCAUCUCAUCUUAACAAUCUGACGAAUAGCCUCCAUUUCAAAUUAUUGAGGGUGGACCAUUGGCAGAAUAUGUACCAGCAAAGACAGAGAUAACUAGUAACAGCCUAAGUUUUCAAUCUGUUUACACACAUACAAAGCCACUUUGUAAACACUGACUUCAAAGGUACACCUGUGAGAGAUGCCUUUGUUACUUGCUGUUUAACAUUUUAAAAAAUUGUUUAGCAUUUAUAGCAUAUAUUUGGUGGCUUUUUAAAUUAAAAAAACAAACACAAGCUGACAUAUAACUUAUUAACACAAACAUGGCACAAUUUUUAUAUUAUACUCCCUUGGAAAAAGAGUUAAUAAUCGAACAGGCAUUACAUUGUGAGUUUACAGAAUUUGAUCCUACAUUGUGCAGCAAUGUCUUUAAAAGAUCAAUAUUGCAGCAAACUAAGCUCUCUGUGGCAUAGCUUCCCUUUUAUAAAAUGAGUAUUUCCUUUCAAUUUUCAGCCAUGUGUCCCUGAAAAUUGUUAGAGUAGCGAGGUACUCUCUUGGGCUUCUUUGCCUCUCUGAUCUUAGGUGAUGAUUUCUUCUUUUCUUUUUGGUCUCUUCUCUCCAUCCCAACCUCUAAUUUCUCUCAAAUCUCUAUCCCAAGACCUCUACUUCCUCACCAUCGCUCCCAUAACAUGGAAUUGCAUUUUUGCAUAGAGUUUGAUUCUAAAGUCAGUGAGUGGAUCUCCCGUUGUGGCUCAGUAGGCUAAGAACCCAACAUAGUGUCUGCGAGGAUUUGGGUUCAAUCCCUGACCUCCCUCAUGGGUUAAGGAUCCAGUGUUGCCGUGAGCUGUGGUGUAGGUCACAGACGUGACUUGGAUCCUGUGUUGUUGUGGCUGUGAUGUAGGCCAGGAGCUAUAGCUCUGACUGGACCCCUAGCCUGGGAACCUCCAUAUGCCACAGGUGUGGCCCUAAAAAAAAAGACAAAAAAAUAAAAAACAAAAAACAGGUAUGUCUUAAAUCCCAUUUGAGGCUAUUUUCUGUUCUAUGAAUGCCCUUCCAUUUCCCCAAAGCUUCAAUAAAGUCUAUUGUGAAUACCAAUGCCAUGGUUAGCGCGCAGCUGUCAAGGACAAGGGGAAUGAGUUGUCAAGUUGACACCGUGUGGAACAGGGACAGGGCACAGGGACAGGUUACUUAAUUCAGAGGAAAGAGCAUCUUAGAGCCAGGGUAAGCAUUUUCAACAUGGAUUGGGCAAAAAUCUUUGGAUAUCCACCAGGUGUGGACUGUGCAUUUGAGCAACUCUCAUCUGGAUCUGAAGGGGCACGGGCCUUACUGUGGCACCAUCAGUGGUACUCUAAGGUUUUAGGACCUGUGGGGUCCAUAUAACACACAGGAGCACCACCAAUUUUUGUGAGGGAUUGUGUGGGAGAUAAAUACUCUCUUCUCUUCUCCUGUGUCUCUCAGGGGAUCAGGAUUAAAAGCCUCUAGGAGUUCCCCAGUGGCUCAGUGGGUAAGGAUCUGGCAUUGUCACUGCUGUGGCUUGCAUGUAUGGUUCCAACCCUGGCCUGGGAAUUUCCGCCUGCCAUAGGUGUGCCCCCCUGCAAAAAAAAAAAUUCUGGUGCCUCCAGAAAUAGGAGGUGAUCGCUUCUCAUUGUGAGGAUGCUCUUUACUCUGCAAUAUACACCUGCUUUGGACAUUUCUAAGCCCUCUUCUCCCUCAUCCUCAAAAUCUCAGUCUGGGAGUUCCCUCCAUGGCACAGCGGAAAUGAAUCCGACUAGGAACCACGAGGUUUUCUAAUAAACAAUCUUAGAUCUAGCUCUUUAGAGCUAGAUACAGAUUGGGUAGGGCUCCACUGAUCUUGGCCUACUCCCCUUUUAGGGUCAGCUGCAUCCUAUCAGAUAGAAACUGUUUCUCCAACAUAUUCUGUUCCUUGUUAGUCCAUGCUAUUCAAGUUACUCCUCUCCAUAGAAAGCCUUGCAUUGUCCUAUGUUCAGGCCUUAAUUUGAUCUACUCUGUUCUACUUGAAAAUAUCCAUUCAACAAUUCCACUUCAGAGUAAGGAACUCUGAACUCAUGGACUUUUAUUUAUCCCUCCUUAGUGGCAUUUAUCAUUUUCCAUCCACAGCUAUUUGGUACAUUUACUCCUAGACUAAGAAUUCCUUGAAAACAGGAGAUAGGCCUUAACAUAAUAAUUGGUUCAUAACCAAUGUUGACUAAGAGAUUUUAAUUUUAUUUUCUAUUUGCCCCAACAGAAUUUAUGGAGACUCAGAAGGGCACGCAAUAUUGGCUAAUGACUUAAAUUACAGGAAAGUGGGAGUUCCCAUCAUGGCUCAGCAGGUUAAGAACCUGACAUAGUGUGCAUGAGUAUGCAGGUUCGAUUCUGGGCCUCACUCAGUGGGUUAAGGAUCUGGCAUUGCCACAAGCUUCCGCGUAGGUCGCAGAUGUGUCUGGGCUCCAGUGUUGCUGUGGCCGUGGUGUAGGCAGGCAGUUGCAGCUCCGAUUCGACCCCUAGCCUGGGAACUUCCAUGUGCUGAGGGUGUGGCCAUAAAAAGAAAAAAAAAAAUGAGGCAGGGGGAAAGAGAGAGCUAAUAGAAACUUAAGAAGAGCAGAUUAUCCAUAAACGCUUGCUAAAAAAUGAAUCAGUUUUUUUCAUGUAAGGUUUCCUAGUGGGUCCAACCUUAGACACCAGCUGUAUUUGCUUCCUGACUCACAUCUGUCUCACAGCAGUGAUGUCCAUGCCUUAGUCUCUUUCUUUACUCCCUGUUUUCUCCCCUCCCCAAACCUGGGGAUGCUUUAGUAUGUGCUCCAUUAGAAAACGCCACCUUCUUCCACAAGCUGACCUUCCUGAGCUCAAUUCUAGGCAUGGGUCAUUAUUUCCAGCCAAGCCAAACAGAAGGUCAGGAUCCUUCUCUUAGAUUUUCGGAGCUGUAGCAAGAGGUAAGAGUCUUUUCUCCAUGGAUGGGGAAGCCAAGAAUUUGCUGAAUCACCACAGACCCUGGGUAGAGGAAGCUGAUUUUCAAGAGAAGUGAUUGAAGCCAACCUACAGAAGGAAGCCGAGACCAGAAACAGAGAGUUCUGAUAGUAUUUGAAUCCCUCCUUCUUCCUUCUGACCCCCUCCUCAAAGCUUCCCUCACCUCCUGCCUCCCAAAGCAUAUUCGUUAGAGCUUCUUUUGAUUUUUAUUGGAAUAAGUUCAAACCCUUGAGUCUGGCAAUCCAGCAUUUCUAGCACCCAGUCAGCCUUAUCUUGCUUCUAAAUUCUCAGCUGAGAGCUGCCUGCUCCCAGAUGCCAGGAUUUUUCUUUCCUCUGUGGCUUCCUUACAGUGUUUCCUUACCUUGAAUGACCUCUUGCCUCCUCUCUCUGCAAUACUAAUUCAGGCCUUUCUUCAGCAACCAAUUCAAGAUCUAUCUCCUCCAUUACAACCCUUCUUGAUUGAUCUUUUCCUUCUCUGAAUGACUGUCACCCUCCCCCACCCCAGCUUAUGCCAUGAAGUCUGAAGCAUAUUUAUUUUUCUGCCUUAGUUUCUUCUCCUUUGUGUUUUCUGGGUAUGAGAAUGCAGGGACUGGCUUAUUACUUAUACACUUAACUGUCAUUAAGAAAUCAUAUUUUCCCCUUCGUUAGCACCUGAUUUGUUUGGGUAUGACAGUGUGGGACAAGGAUUUUUUACAUAAAAAAGGGAGCCAGAUAGGAGGCUCUUGUAAGCAAUUCAGAACAGAAGCAAUGAGAAGCAGAGAGGGGAGACUGGGAGGGAGGCGGGAGCAGCAGCCAAGGGAAGGUUGUGCAUAGCCCGCUGUGACCGUUUUCCAAUGAUCCUCAAUUGCUCAGGAAAUUAAAAUAAACUCAUAAACUGCUUGGAGAGCAUGUGUAUUUUAUGGAUGUUGGUGAAGGGGUAGAGUUUGGGGUAUAGAUUGUCGGGGGUCGGCAGGGGGACUGAAGCAGCACAUAGGGAAGCAGGUGCUAUAGACAGAGUGAUCAAGAGAGAUAGGAGGCCCUGGGGGUUUGCGGGAAGCAUGAGAAAGGUACUGACAUUCAACCAAGUCUGGAUGUGGGCGGGAUGUUCAAGCCAAAGGGCAGCAGGUCCCAGCAAACAUGUGAGAUAUAAGUGUUUAUUUGUUUAUCGUUAAGACAUAUCAACUCUUGCCUCCCACGUUGACCGAAGUCUCAUGAUGUUGGGAAAACCACACCAUCUUCUGCCUCAGGAGCUGUCACUUGGUGUCAGGCUCAGCAUAACUGUGUCCAUCCCUUCUCUCUCCACUUUCCAGUGCUUCCUCUAUAUCAGUGUCAGGCUCUUAACUCUCCUAAGUUUGCUUUAAUCACAUCAAUUUCCUGCUCUUGAAAAAAGGCGAAGGAGGCAGUAAAGGAGGAGGAAGAGAGGAGAGUCUAUAUCUGGUCUCUGCAGCCACGUUAAAUUCCUCCAUUUUCUGACCUCACCUGAUUUACCCAACCUCACCCUCUCUUAUUAACAUGAUUCUCUUUUCCAGGAAUGUUGAGUUCUCCCUGUAUGUGUACAUCGCUUGGGGAAUCUCAUCUAUUUCUUAUGUUUAUGAUGCUGUUUUCACCUAAAACUCCUUAUGUUCCUCUCUGCUUACAAAAUCCCACUUGUCCUCAAAUUCCAGCACAAGACGCAGUUCCUCUAGGAAACCUAUUCUGACUCUCAAUCCAUCUCCAAUUACUUUUCUCCUCAAAACUUUCAUUGCAUUUGUAGUUUGGACCAUGCCACAUAGCAUGGAUUCUGGCCCUAGUGAUCUCAUGAUGGUUAAUCUUCUCAUAAGCACUUUGAGGACUGAAGGAGUGAUUAUAAUUUUUAUCCAGUGGGUGCUCGGUACUUAUAAAGCAUUUCAGAAGUCCAUCCCCCAAGUGGAUUCUCAAAAGGCAGCAGUUUUACUUGGUUUCCUAACCUUCUCCCAAUGCCAGAACAUCAUCUGGAAAAUAGUAGGUCCUCUGUGGAUACUUGUUUAAUGAAUGAAUGCAUAUCUGUCUGCCAAACUCUACCACUCCCGAUCGCUUUGUUGUACAGCAGAAAUGUUCACAACACUGUAAAUCAACCACACUUCAAUAAAACUUUAAAAAUGAAAAAAAUAAAAAA
rnacentral:lncRNA from 1 species